AAAAAGAUAAGCUAAAUAAGCUAGCAGGUUCAUACCCUGCUUAUAGGGGUCCAAACCCCCUUCUUUUUA
rnacentral:tRNA from 1 species